GCAAACCCUUCCCCAAUCACCACAUCCGUAGCACGCCUUCCUCCUCCUUACUCGUCACCAGAGCCGCCACACCUCUCCUUGCUCCUCACCCGCACCCCUGUCGCGGUGCACAUCCCUCCCAUCAUCGAGCCCAACUCCCUUCACGUUUCUCCUACUCCCAGAACCACAUCCCGUUGUUUAGGCUCCAUGGCGACGGCCGGAUCGAGGCGAGCCUGGCGCAGGUAGGCGGAAGCAGCCGGGCGCCGGAUGCGGGUGGGAGAGUUCCUCCUCGUCGCCAGAGCCACUGCACCUCUCCUUCCUCCUCGCCCGCACCCCUACCGCAGUGCACAUCCCUCCCCACAUCGAGCCCAACUCCCCUUCGCGUUUCUCCUCCUCGCAGAACCACAUCCCGCUGGUUAAGCUUCAUGGCCGCGGCCGGCUCGAGGCGAGUCUGGCGCAGGUAGGCGGAACUGAUAUGGGUGGGAGAGUGUCGGACGGUGCGCCGGCUGGAGCAGCAUGAGCAAGGAGCCGGGGUCGGCCGUGGAAGGUAGGCUCGCUGGCCGGAGCAACUGCAAUAGUUGUUGGUCGGCCCGACGCAGUGCCUCAGCCCCGCCUCCUCUGUUGCAGCACACACGCAUGAGAGGGGCAGAUGUGUCGUCACUGGUGGCAAGUUCAGCGGCCGCCGCCUCCUCUUUUCUUCAAAUCCAGUAAGCCCUCUCGUGAGUGCAUAAGGGGAUGUCGUGCCCUCAAGUCCUCAACUACGGUGAAGCACCAGGUCCACAUGAGCUCCUCCUUCAAUCUGCGUGCCUGAUUUCUUAAUUUUUCAUGAAUGCACAUAGCUGAAGACAGUGGCGGAGCCAGAAAUUUCUUCCUUGGUAAUCAUUUGUGCAAUUUUAUAUCAAUAUGACAACAAAUAUACAGCAAGCCAGUAGCAGCAUACAAAUGGAUCGAACAAUUCUUUAGUAUUCCAUGGAAGUCCGGGGAAGACCCCUAGCGCCGCCACUGUCUGAAGAUUUUUUGGUUCCCUCAUCUAGAUUUCUUCUGAAGUGUGCAGGUUGUUAUUCCUUAUCAAGGAGAGCCUUAAUCAACCACACAAGAAUUUGGAUUGAAAUGAGACAGAUUCCCUAUACUAUAUUCCCUAGCCAAAUAUAGUUCAGAGGUUGAAUGAACAUUACUGCUACAAAUUUGGCUAGGGAAUCUGUCUCAUUUUAAUAUUGCAAUGAAGUGGUUGGGAUGGAGAGGAUUUUUUACUUGUCUAAGAUAUCACAAGAAGCAUCAAUGUUUUCUUAGCAUUCAAAUCGACAUUCAUGGGAUCACUUAUGGCCACAUGUAUACUAGUUGCAAUUAAUAUUGCUUUCUCAAAUUCUGAUAUCUAAAGCCUGUACUGCCUGAACAAAUCAAUGGGCUUAUAUACAUUCUGAUAUAUAUUUUCUAAAUACAUCUGUAGAUUCCCAUACCCUUUUUAGAUCCAAUUGUAAUUGUUUUGCAUUUGUCUUUGGAUUGUUUUUAUACACCCCAAGGUAAUAUUCAAGGACAACCAAGCA